UCUAGAACCGAUAACCCCCGUUCAACCUCACCACCUCUUGUUUUCCCCGCCUAUAUACCACCGUCGUCAGCUUACCCUGUGAAGGAUUUAUAGUAAGCAAAAUGGGCAAGACCCAA
rnacentral:rRNA from 1 species